rnacentral:lncRNA from 1 species
CGACGUCUACGUUCCUGUAUUUUCACCAAAUUCGAGGGUUUUAGACGUCAGUUGUGAGGGGCACUGACGUGAACUACCCUGACAGGAAACCAAAACGUCAAUCUUUUCAGCUUCCUAGACGUCGGUUUCUGGAGCAACCGACGCCCCAUUUCAUUUUAAAUAGACCGCGGACUCUUCUUGCCAUUCAGUUUCUGAUCGCGUCUUCAUCUUUUCUCCUUUUUCUCUGCUUCUCCUCUUCUUUUACUCGCUUGCGCACCUCUACUUUUUAUCUCUUGCGGCAUUGCAUUGUCGUUUCUCAUAACGUCAUUGUCUUCGUCCUUUCCUUUUUCUCUCUUGCAUCCCAGGUGCGUGGUUUUUUUUUAUGCUUACCGUUUAAACUUUCUUUAGUUUUUUUUCGAUUAUCUUUUCGUUCAACUGAUUAAAAUUUGCUUUCUUUGUCUUUUGUUUUAGUGCAGUUUUGAUCCUCUCUUUGGGUAACAU